UCAUCGUCAGCGGCGCUGGCUUCGCGUCGGUGGGCGAUGUCCCGCGGAGUCCUCGCGGCUCUCGCGCGGGCACGCUACCGUGCGUCGAUGUCCGGCGCUCGUCGUCGUGCACUUCUCCCCAAGUAGAACGUCGCGACCCGCUGGGUGUCGGUCUACGGCCCGGGUGCGGUGACUGUCGCGUCGCCGGUAAAACGGCACGCGACAAACCCUCGGUUGCCCGGCCGGCUGCUCGGCGGUACGCGCAAGGUAUCAGGCCGCACUUAUUCUCACGGGUGCGUCGAGGCCGUCGCAAGCGCGCGCCACGGUACUCGGAGGUUACGGACUUUGCGCCGUCCCCGGUCCUGGCCCGCUGUUGGUUAAAGUGUACGGAUCACCUUCGACAGGCCUGUCGAACGUUCCUCCCCCGCCCCCCCCCUCGCGGGGACGGUGUGGGUGGGGGGACAUAUACCGGUCGGCGACGCUACUGCUUUGGGUACUCUUAGGACCCGUCUUGAAACACGGACCAAGGAGUCUAACAUGUACGCGAGUCAUUGGGACUUGUCGCGAGACCUAAAGGCGUAAUGAAAGUGAAGAUCGACCCUGGCCGUCGAUCGAGGGAGGAUGGGCCGCGUCGCGAUGCGGCCUCGCACUCCCUGGGCGUCUCGUUCUCAUCGCGAGAAGAGGCGCACCAAGAGCGUACACGUUGGGACCCGAAAGAUGGUGAACUAUGCCUGGUCAGGACGAAGUCAGGGGAAACCCUGAUGGAGGUCCGUAGCGAUUCUGACGUGCAAAU
rnacentral:rRNA from 1 species